rnacentral:rRNA from 1 species
GUAGGGAAUAUUGGACAAUGGGCGAAAGCCUGAUCCAGCAAUGCCGCGUGAGUGAUGAAGGCCUUAGGGUUGUAAAGCUCUUUUACCAGGGAUGAUAAUGACAGUACCUGGAGAAUAAGCUCCGGCUAACUCCGUGCCAGCAGCCGCGGUAAUACGGAGGGAGCUAGCGUUGUUCGGAAUUACUGGGCGUAAAGCGCGCGUAGGCGGCGAUUUAAGUCAGAGGUGAAAGCCCGGGGCUCAACCCCGGAAUAGCCUUUGAGACUGGAUUGCUAGAAUCCUGGAGAGGUGAGUGGAAUUCCGAGUGUAGAGGUGAAAUUCGUAGAUAUUCGGAAGAACACCAGUGGCGAAGGCGGCUCACUGGACAGGUAUUGACGCUGAGGUGCGAAAGCGUGGGGAGCAAACAGGAUUAGAAACCCGGGUAGUCC